rnacentral:rRNA from 1 species
AACGAACGCUGGCGGCAUGCCUAACACAUGCAAGUCGAACGAGACCUUCGGGUCUAGUGGCGCACGGGUGCGUAACGCGUGGGAACCUGCCCUUAGGUUCGGAAUAACUCCCCGAAAGGGGUGCUAAUACCGGAUAAUGUCUUCGGACCAAAGAUUUAUCGCCUUUGGAUGGGCCCGCGUUGGAUUAGCUAGUUAGUAGGGUAAAAGCCUACCAAGGCGACGAUCCAUAGCUGGUCUGAGAGGAUGAUCAGCCACACUGGGACUGAGACACGGCCCAGACUCCUACGGGAGGCAGCAGUGGGGAAUAUUGGGCGAUGGGCGAAGGCCUGAUCCAGCAAUGCCGCGUGAGUGAUGAAGGCCUUAGGGUUGUAAAGCUCUUUUACCCGGGGUGAUAAUGACAGUACCGGGAGAAUAAGCUCCGGCUAACUCCGUG